ensembl:snoRNA
GGUACUUGUGAUUUUGUCUUAACUUGUUGACUAAAAACUUAUGAACAGGUGCAAAAAAUAAAUCCUCUUUUACAACCCAGAACUCAUUGUUCGAUAUGAGUUUUGAUACAUACUAAACGUAGUGGU